rnacentral:rRNA from 1 species
GACGAACGCUGGCGGCGUGCUUAACACAUGCAAGUCGAACGGAAAGGCCCUGCUUUUGUGGGGUGCUCGAGUGGCGAACGGGUGAGUAACACGUGAGUAACCUGCCCUUGACUUUGGGAUAACUUCAGGAAACUGGGGCUAAUACCGGAUAGGAGCUCCUGCUGCAUGGUGGGGGUUGGAAAGUUUCGGCGGUUGGGGAUGGACUCGCGGCUUAUCAGCUUGUUGGUGGGGUAGUGGCUUACCAGGGCUUUGACGGGUAGCCGGCCUGGGAGGGUGACCGGCCACAUUGGGACUGAGGUACGGCCCAGACUCCUACGGGAGGCAGCAGUGGGGAAUAUUGCACAAUGGGCGGAAGCCUGAUGCAGCAACGCCGCGUGCGGGAUGACGGCCUUCGGGUUGUAAACCGCUUUCGCCUGUGACGAAGCGUGAGUGACGGUAAUGGGUAAAGAAGCACCGGCUAACUACGUG